AUUGAACGCUGGCGGCAUGCUUUACACAUGCAAGUCGAACGGUAACAGGCCGCAAGGUGCUGACGAGUGGCGAACGGGUGAGUAAUGCAUCGGAACGUGCCCAGUCGUGGGGGAUAACUACUCGAAAGAGUAGCUAAUACCGCAUACGAUCUAUGGAUGAAAGCGGGGGACCGUAAGGCCUCGCGCGAUUGGAGCGGCCGAUGUCAGAUUAGGUAGUUGGUGGGGUAAAGGCUCACCAAGCCAACGAUCUGUAGCUGGUCUGAGAGGACGACCAGCCACACUGGGACUGAGACACGGCCCAGACUCCUACGGGAGGCAGCAGUGGGGAAUUUUGGACAAUGGGCGCAAGCCUGGUCCAGCAAUGCCGCGUGCAGGAAGAAGGCCUUCGGGUUGUAAACUGCUUUUGUACGGGACGAAACGGCUCUGGUUAAUACCCGGGGCUAAUGACGGUACCGUAAGAAUAAGCACCGGCUAACUACGUG
rnacentral:rRNA from 1 species